AGAGCCUUUGUAGCAAUACGAGGGUUUCUUAGUGGCGAACGGGUGCGUAACGCGUUGGUGACCUGCCCCAAAGUGUGGGAUAACAGUUCGAAAGGAUUGCUAAUACCUCAUGUGAUCACCGGGUUUAGAAGCCGAUGAUUAAAGCAGUAAUGCGCUUUGGGGGGGACCUGCGUCCCAUCAGCUAGUUGGUGAGGUAACGGCCCACCAAGGCUACGACGGGUAGGGGACCUGAGAGGGUGGUCCCCCACACUGGCACUGAAACACGGGCCAGACACCUACGGGUGGCAGCAGUAGGGAAUAUUGGGCAAUGGGCGAAAGCCUGACCCAGCAACGCCGCGUGCAUGAUGAAGGUCUUCGGAUCGUAAAAUGCUUUUCUGAGAGAUGAGAAAGGACAGUAUCUCAGGAAUAAGUCUCGGCUAACUACGUGCCAGCAGCCGCGGUAAAACGUAGGAGGCAAGCGUUAUCCGGAUUUACUGGGCGUAAAGCGUGUGCAGGUGGUUUGGUAAGUUGGAUGUGAAAGCUCCUGGCUCAACUGGGAGAGGUCGUUCAAUACUACCAGACUUGAGAGCAGUAGAGGGAGGUGGAAUUCUCGGUGUAGUGGUGAAAUGCGUAGAUAUCGGGAGGAACACCAGUGGCGAAAGCGGCCUCCUGGACUGUUUCUGACACUCAGACACGAAAGCUAGGGUAGCAAACGGGAUUAGAGACCCCGGUAGUCCUAGCUGUAAACGAUGUGAACUUGGCGUCGGCGGGCUCAAAGCCGUCGGUGCCGAAGCUAACGCGAUAAGUUCACCGCCUGGGGAC
rnacentral:rRNA from 1 species